rnacentral:rRNA from 1 species
AUUGAACGCUGGCGGCAGGCCUAACACAUGCAAGUCGAGCGGAUGAAGGGAGCUUGCUCCUGGAUUCAGCGGCGGACGGGUGAGUAAUGCCUAGGAAUCUGCCUGGUAGUGGGGGAUAACGUCCGGAAACGGGCGCUAAUACCGCAUACGUCCUGAGGGAGGAAGUGGGGGAUCUUCGGACCUCACGCUAUCAGAUGAGCCUAGGUCGGAUUAGCUAGUUGGUGGGGUAAAGGCCUACCAAGGCGACGAUCCGUAACUGGUCUGAGAGGAUGAUCAGUCACACUGGAACUGAGACACGGUCCAGAAUCCUACGGGAGGCAGCAGUGGGGAAUAUUGGACAAUGGGCGAAAGCCUGAUCCAGCCAUGCCGCGUGUGUGAAGAAGGUCUUCGGAUUGUAAAGCACUUUAAGUUGGGAGGAAGGGCAGUAAGUUAAUACCUUGCUGUUUUGACGUUACCAACAGAAUAAGCACCGGCUAACUUCGUG